AAUUAGCCAUGACACAAGAGUGAACUUUUGCUCGACAGAGCAGCAGCUCUGAAGCUGAGGUUUGCAAGAUGCAACUUGCCCAUGCAGUUCGGAAAGUCUACAGAAUUGCUGUGACUAACUGGAAUCCUGGUUCCCACAGAAGUAUGUACUCAACAUGGAAGGUCUCCUGCAUGGCUGACUGGAGCUCAGAGGAGCCCAGAUUGUUCCCUCUUCACAAGAUGUGGAAACCCUUUGAAGAACUGGGCUCCACAAAUCCCAGAGGUCAAAGUCCACAGCAACAAUGCCCACAAACAUCAUUAUACAUUGAGGCUGAGAAAGUGGCUGCCAGCUGCUACCACUCAUUUGAGACCGCUGGGAGACAAGAAGAGCCAGGCUUGAGUGAACACUGGAAAAAUUCACCCUUUGUCUUGGAGAGUACCCAAAUGCAGGGGCAGCUUUUACUCCUACCCAUCAAGCACCUCUGGAUGAUUCCACUCUCAAGCAGUUAUGAUUUUUUAGGUUCCCUUGGUGUCUGCUUCCCCAGGAAGUAUAUCAUAACUGUGAUUAAUAGCAAAGGCAUACCUCUAAAGAGUAGCAGUAUACAUUCAAUUCAGUGCAGAGAAACAAGCGUGUAAGUGAAUCUCCCCCACCCACUCCACUUGGCUGGACAGUAUGCCAACUCACUGAAGUAUGUCACCUUGAGGGUGCUACUGCAUCCUCUCUCUUGUAGGAGGUAAUUAGGAGAGGGAAAGGUGGGAAGUGUGCUUCUAGGAGAUAAUGUACAUCUCAACAAGCAGCUAGGCAGGAGAGAGAGAAAUGUGCCCAAAGGGCUUUACAUGACAUGUUAUCUUGGAGAAACACACUCUGUGGAACAUCGUCUGAUAGCUGGAUGGCCCCAAAGGAAAGCAAACUGGACUUUGGAUAUUCAUUUAUUCUGACACAUAAAAAAGGGUCAUUUCUUUUACCUCAAAUGCAAACACUAUUCUAAAAUGGAAAAGGCCCAAUUAAUAACUGCAAACGAACAUUGUGUCUGUUGCUUAAAUGCAAGCACUUGGAGGCAAGUCUACUUGGUGAACUGUUUGUGCAAAGUAACUUCCCACCUACUUUUGCAAUUUUAGCCAUCUCUGUGCAACUGCAAGAGAAGGGUUGCAUUGGAGUGCUUAAAUUGCUGGAGUGGUGUGACAAAUCGCUUUAUACAUAAAACUGCUUGCCACACAAAGCCACCACCACUUUGGAAUGUUUACACUAGCAAUCAGCCAUUACUUGCAACAGAAAAGUGGGCUUUAGUUUUCAGUGCAUAAACACUUUCAGAUCCAACCUAUCCCCACCUGUGCUUUCUAGAAUAGGCAUAGUGCAAUAGCCACCCAUCACCACCUUCCUAUGCCAUCUAUAUAUGUAUAUGGUAGCAGUUGGGGUGACUACAUAUCACUCUGGUUGCCCCACCUAAAAAAAAAGGAUAUUGCAGAACAGCAGAGGGUACAGAACCAGCACAACAGGUGGAUUGUCCUUGUGGAAAAAGGCUUUAAGGGCUAUUUAACUUAGAAAAAAAUUACUGAGGAGGGAAUGGAUAAAGAUCAUUAAUGGAGUAGGAAGAAUGACAAGGGGAAAUUGUCAGAAACCUCGAGGCUAUCCACUAAAAAAAGGCAUGCAUGUAAAUUAAACAAAUGCAUGUGUUUUUUCACAAUGCAUGAUUAGCUUAAUGGAACACUUUGCUACAUAAUGUUGUUACGCAACUAGAACACAGUUUUAAAAUCAGAGUAGAUAAAAUAUGGGAAGGACAGGAUAAUACAUGGCUCCUAACCAUGGCAUUCGGAAGGUCAAAUAUCAGAUAGGUACAUUAUCAUUUUUAUUCCCAGUUUGUACACGUUUCUAUGAUAUCUGGUUGGCCAUUGUCAGAAAAUCAGCUAUAUGGACUACUGAUCUGAUCCAGCACGGCAUUUCUUAUUGCUACUGUGAUAGGCUCAGCAAAACCUGUGCAAAUCCAUGAUGAAUGAAUGCAUAAGGGGGCAGAUCCCCCCCCAAUACAUUAAUACUGACAAGCUAUUUCUGCAAGAAUCUGGAUGUGAUUCUUUUCUACCUAGGAGGGAGCACAGAUUGGCCACAACUGUGCUCUUUGCAACUCGGCUCUGUUGUCCUCUUAUCACAUAAAGCACUGUGUUCUGCUUUCAGUAUUAAAACUCAGCAAAGCAGAGAAGGAUACAUGCCUGUUUUCCCCCCUCUCCCUCCACAUAUCUCACCCUCCUUCAUUCAGCUACUUCCCCCUCCCUGAAAAUUCCCCAUUUCCAAUCUCCUGGCUCUAUUUGACUAAAGAGACAACUGCACCACAGUCCAAGUGCACAUCUCCCUGCCCUGUGGUUGGCAUGGAAACAUAAAAUAUUCUGUGAGCACAAAUGCUCACUACAAAAGAUGCUACUUUCUGGGGAACCCUCGCCCAAGAUUCUCCAAACUGAGCUUCAUGUCUUCAAGGGUAUUUUUAGACACGUGCAUCUUAAGCUCAAGGGCCCUCAGGCAAGUGGGAAGGUCACAGCUAUGUAAGGGUCAAAGAACCCUCUCUAAAGCCCUGUGCACACAUUCAGACUGUAAGCAUGGGAACAGGGAUUGAAACCAUGGCAGCAGGUCUUGCCCUUUGGUGUGUCUGACCUCCAUGUGUUAGAGAACACCUCUGCAUAAUAGCCUAUGCAUUAAGAGCUGCCCCCAUUUCUUCCAGCUACAGAUUACACAGUUGGCUUGUCUGUUACUAUAGAAAUGUCCUCUAAAGCAUAGAAGUUGGGUGCACUAAGGGGAUCGGGGCUUGCCACCAUAAUUCUGAUUCCUCCCUCCCACUUUGACUGGCUUUGAACACCUGCACAAGAGGGGCCCCUCAGCUUGUCUGUCAAGCCACUGUAUCACACGGGGAGUCAUGCUGAGAUUUUAUUCUUUAUAUGUAGCUCAAUGGGAUAGAAUCCCCACCAUUAUUCACUGGUGAAGCAAAACCUCCAUCAGGCUGUGAAACAGCCUUAUAAUAAAAAAAACCAUUCCCCCCUAGUUACUUCACUCAUGUAGGCAACUGGGAUAUGAUGUAGUUUGUGUUCACUUACAGAUUUCUGGAAUUGGUAGAGUAGGGAGGCUAUGCAUGAUAGGCAUGCUGGCAUCAGUAUACUCAUACCGUCUUUGUCUGUAAAGUUAUAUUGCUCUAUUUUUCCCAGAGGCCUGCCCUUAGAACCCCCUCAGUAUCAUAUGAAACUACUACUAAUCUCUGCUGCCCUGCAUGCCCAGAUUCAACAUGGACUGCAUUUCUAUGAGUCAUCCCUGCCCAGCAGUAGGGGUUGAGUAUGUCCAUACCCGAGACUUCUCCUCCAACCGGGUCAUCAUGACAAUAGUUGCUGUGCGUUGUUCCCACACCAUCCUCCAGAAGUCACUGAGUGUCUCUGGCAGAGGUCCCUGUGUAGCAAUAUAUGCAUUCUGCUUGCGGUAGCCAUCAAUGUAAUUCGCAUUGAUGUAGUCACUUCCAGGAACACCUGAAUGACAGAGAAAGAAUGAAAGGGGAUUGAGAAGACAAGGGAGUAGCCAGAAUCCUAGGCCAGUUGGAAGAGGAAACAGACUGUUUAGAUGCUUCACAUAUGAAGUGAUGCUUUUACCAUGCAGACCUCUGGCAGGGUGGAAAUAUAUGUGCCAUACCUAGCCCUGACCUGGUGCCAGGGUUCUUGGAGAACAAACCAGACACGCCACAGGUCAAGGAUCUUGAGGAGCAGGCAGGAUAUCCUGAGAUCAGUGCUCAGGAUCCCCCAGAGGGGCCCUCUGGAGGGAUACCUGCUGAAGAAUGCUUGGAGCUGUAAGAGGAGGAGGUGGAACCACUCCUCAGUCCUCAAGAAUGCUGGUGCCAAAGGCCCAGGCCAAAGAUUAAUGACAUACCA